rnacentral:rRNA from 1 species
UACGUAGGGUGCAAGCGUUAUCCGGAAUUAUUGGGCGUAAAGAGCUCGUAGGCGGUUUGUCGCGUCUGCUGUGAAAACUGGGGGCUCAACCCCCAGCCUGCAGUGGGUACGGGCAGACUAGAGUGCGGUAGGGGAGAUUGGAAUUCCUGGUGUAGCGGUGGAAUGCGCAGACAUCAGGAGGAACACCGAUGGCGAAGGCAGAUCUCUGGGCCGUAACUGACGCUGAGGAGCGAAAGCAUGGGGAGCGAACAGG